UGGACAAUUGAAUCAUUAACAAGAGGACCUGGGUCAAAGAGAUCGUCAUCUUCAUUGAGAGCAGGCGCCAACCUGUGAGUGCGUUCACAGCCGUUGUCAUUUGAGAGAGCCCUUCAUUGAUGGUGCUAUCAAAUGACACUUGCUUGCCAAUAACCUACUCACCAAUGCCCAUUUUGGGUUUAGCCAAAACCUGGGCAAAAGGUGCCGAGUUCCAGAGGUGAGGUUAAUGUGGAACUGAGGAGCAAGAUAAAACUGAAAUCAAAGGGAAUCAAGAGCUGAACACUCCAGUGGCUGAAGUUAUACCACACACAAGAGAAGAUAGUUGAGACUAUCUGUUUUUGAUCAUCUCAGACUCAGGCUAUCACUGUAGGAAUUCAUCAAGGCCACAUCCAAGUGCUACCUCUCAGCAGCUGCUUCAUCAUUGGCCUGUCCUUCAUCAAAUGGCCAGAAUCAAAAUGGUAAACAACAGGAAUUCUGCAGAUGCUGGAAAUUCAAGCAACACACAUCAAAGUUGCUGGUGAACGCAGCAGGCCAGGCAGCAUCUCUAGGAAGAGUCAAUCGUAGGAUGGCGGAGCGUGGUCUGGCUACGUCACUGAUAAUGUCAUUUGAGUCCAGCAGUAGCAUGGGGCCCCAUCUGUGGGACUGGUGACGUCUGAGAAGCAGGAUUCUUUUGAAGACCCUGACCUGGAGUUACACACUGACUUUAGUUCUUUGCGGGAAUGGGACUCACAACUGGCUGCUAUUCGAUAUGCAAGGACGCAACCUAGAAGACUAGCGCGCCUUCAGGUUUCCGGGAUUUUGUGGCUCUGGAGGCGGGCGGACUAGAGGCCGGUGCUGCUGCAGGAAACUGGUGUGUCGUGGGAGUACACGGAAGAUCGAAAGCAGCGAGCUGGCUGCUGGCUGUGUGCCCAGAGACCCGAGUUCUUUGGGCACAGAACUCGGAAAAAGUGAUGCAACAGACUUUUAACAUCGUAAAUCAGCAAGUUGUUUGCUAUCUCUCCCCUCUCGCUGUGAAACGGGGACACCUCUUUUUCCCUUAUUAGGGAGAGAGAAAGCCUGUGGUAUGUCAAAUACCGGUUGAACAGUAGUAUGCUUAAUAGUUUUCAAUAGUCUUUGGGGUACUGCAAGUCUGUGUCUUCAUUGAUGCUUUGCUGCACGCUUGAGUGCU